CGUGCUUACACAUGCAAGUCGAGCGGUAAGGCCUUUCGGGGUACACGAGCGGCGAACGGGUGAGUAACACGUGGGUGAUCUGCCCUGCACUCUGGGAUAAGCUUGGGAAACUGGGUCUAAUACCGGAUAUGACCACAGCAUGCAUGUGUUGUGGUGGAAAGAUUUAUCGGUGCAGGAUGGGCCCGCGGCCUAUCAGCUUGUUGGUGGGGUAAUGGCCUACCAAGGCGACGACGGGUAGCCGACCUGAGAGGGUGACCGGCCACACUGGGACUGAGACACGGCCCAGACUCCUACGGGAGGCAGCAGUGGGGAAUAUUGCACAAUGGGCGGAAGCCUGAUGCAGCGACGCCGCGUGAGGGAUGAAGGCCUUCGGGUUGUAAACCUCUUUCAGCAGGGACGAAGCGUGAGUGACGGUACCUGCAGAAGAAGCACCGGCUAACUACGUGCCAGCAGCCGCGGUAAUACGUAGGGUGCGAGCGUUGUCCGGAAUUACUGGGCGUAAAGAGUUCGUAGGCGGUUUGUCGCGUCGUUUGUGAAAACCCGGGGCUCAACUUCGGGCUUGCAGGCGAUACGGGCAGACUUGAGUGUUUCAGGGGAGACUGGAAUUCCUGGUGUAGCGGUGAAAUGCGCAGAUAUCAGGAGGAACACCGGUGGCGAAGGCGGGUCUCUGGGAAACAACUGACGCUGAGGAACGAAAGCGUGGGUAGCAAACAGGAUUAGAUACCCUGGUAGUCCACGCCGUAAACGGUGGGCGCUAGGUGUGGGUUCCUUCCACGGGAUCUGUGCCGUAGCUAACGCAUUAAGCGCCCCGCCUGGGGAGUACGGCCGCAAGGCUAAAACUCAAAGGAAU
rnacentral:rRNA from 1 species